UCCCUUGUUUUAUGUUCAAAAGUUGAACAUCUCUCCUCUUUCUCUCCUUGUCCAAAGAGUUGGACAUGUCUCCAUCAUCUUCUUCUCCAUACAUGUUCAAGAGUUGAACAUGAUUAAAAUCAGAUUUGAUCUGAUUUAUUUUAGUCCAUGAGAUAGACGGUUCUCCUUUAUACAUAUUCAAGAGUUGAACAUGAUUAAAAUCAGAUUUGAUCUGAUUUUUGCCUCUUCCUAUUGGUCUAU
rnacentral:lncRNA from 1 species